rnacentral:rRNA from 1 species
GGAUCCAGACUUUGAUUAUGGCUCGGGACGAACGCUGGCGGCGCGCCUAACACAUGCAAGUCGAACGAGAGAGAGGGAGCUUGCUUCCUCAAUCGAGUGGCGAACGGGUGAGUAACGCGUGAGGAACCUGCCUCAAAGAGGGGGACAACAGUUGGAAACGACUGCUAAUACCGCAUAAGCCCACGACCCGGCAUCGGGUUGAGGGAAAAGGAGCAAUCCGCUCUGAGAUGGCCUCGCGUCCGAUUAGCUGGUUGGUGAGGUAAUGGCCCACCAAGGCGACGAUCGGUAGCCGGACUGAGAGGUUGAACGGCCACAUUGGGACUGAGACACGGCCCAGACUCCUACGGGAGGCAGCAGUGGGGAAUAUUGCACAAUGGGGGAAACCCUGAUGCAGCGACGCCGCGUGGAGGAAGAAGGUCUUCGGAUUGUAAACUCCUGUUGUUGAGGAAGAUAAUGACGGUACUCAACAAGGAAGUGACGGCUAACUACGUGCCAGCAGCCGCGGUAAAACGUAGGUCACAAGCGUUGUCCGGAAUUACUGGGUGUAAAGGGAGCGCAGGCGGGAAGACAAGUUGGAAGUGAAAUCUAUGGGCUCAACCCAUAAACUGCUUUCAAAACUGUUUUUCUUGAGUAGUGCAGAGGUAGGCGGAAUUCCCGGUGUAGCGGUGGAAUGCGUAGAUAUCGGGAGGAACACCAGUGGCGAAGGCGGCCUACUGGGCACCAACUGACGCUGAGGCUCGAAAGUGUGGGUAGCAAACAGGAUUAGAUACCCUGGUAGUCCACACCGUAAACGAUGAUUACUAGGUGUUGGAGGAUUGACCCCUUCAGUGCCGCAGUUAACACAAUAAGUAAUCCACCUGGGGAGUACGACCGCAAGGUUGAAACUCAAAUGAAUUGACGG